GGCUAAACUAAUGUUCACAUAUUUAAAGGAGAAAGGAAGUUAAAAGUGAGAAAGCACACAAUGAACCAUACAUAUUGUUGGAUGAUGAGACAUAGAUGAUAAUGCAAAGAAUUUGGAGUUGCCAUUAGAUGGUAGAAAUCGCCUUUCUUCAAGUCAUACCUCAGUAAUCUCCCAUUCUGAUGGUCCUUCACAAAGAAAAUAGUUGGAUGAAAUUCAAAAGUGAAGCAAAUACUAAUUAGCUAUAUAGGGGGACGGUGGAUGCCUAAUGCAUCAAUGUACAUGUGUUGGUUUCUAUACAGUUAGCUAAAUAGCUCGUUUCUCAAAUGUGAACACUCCAAAGAUACUGAUUAAGUAGAAGAAGCCGACAAGUAGAGCAUGUGAGCCAUUGCUAUACUUUUCUAAAUCAUUUAUUUUUUUAUUUUUAUAAAUGUGUGGCCCACUUGAUGAGUUGCCCUACCUGUUUUUGUUAUGAUUAUGUAUGCUUAGAAGCAUCAGAUUGAUUGAUCAUCGGUAACGGGGGAGGUCCUUGUGGGCAUACCACUACAAAAGGAAAUAGUAACAAAACAAGAAAGUUGAUAAGGUAGAACCAUUAGAACUGGAAUGUGGUAGUGCCAUCUCUUUACUGCACAUGGGUUAUGGUCAUGUGUCAAUUGAGACCGUCCAUCCAGUAGGGCCCAUCUUAAAUCAUGUUCCCUCUAAAUUUUUUUUU